CUCUCUGACAUACGGACCUCGUGAACAGAGUUCGUGUUUGUGAGAAUGGCCUGUUUUUCAAUCUAGCUAAGAAUAUUCCAAGUGAUACUGGAACAUCUAUGGGAGAAGAAAUCUUAAGAACGUUCGAAAAUGCUCAAGAGGGGAACAGCUUGGAGCACAAUCAAGAUAUGGGGGUUCUGAGCAGAACUUGACAGUUGGCCUUACAACAUAUGAUGUGGCCUACAAUCAGGAAGACCCUGGAUUCUCAGAAGCCAUUCCAGACUGGGAACAACUUCCCUCUUUUUCCUUUGCCUUGGAAAAGGAAAUGCACUGCACCAUACCUUUGUCCAAAUAGAUUGUUAAAAUGAGUAUGUACUCUUUGAAGGUCAGUUAAGAUACUGUGGGUUCUUGGGGCGCCUGGGUGGCUCAGUGGGUUAAAGCCUCUGCCUUCGGGUUAGGUCAUGAUCCCAGGGUCCUGGGAUUGAGCCCCGCAUUGGGCUCUCUGCUCAGCAGGGAGCCUGUUUCCUCCUCUCUCUGCCGCCUGCCUCUCUGCCUACUUGUGAUUGAAGGAGCAGGAGGCU